AGGCAGCCUUCUUCCUAAACUAUGAAACAGUAGGAAGACAGGUGUUAAUCUACUCGCACACUGAAACCGACUUUUGCUCUUCAGACUUGCUGAGGCUGGUGUCCUCUGAAGCUGGUCUAGUAUGCCUAAGUACAUU